GUGGGGAAUCUUCCGCAAUGGACGAAAGUCUGACGGAGCAACGCCGCGUGAGUGAAGAAGGUUUUCGGAUCGUAAAGCUCUUUCGUUAGGGACGAACGUGCUCUUUGUGAAUAAUGAGGAGUAAUGACGGUACCUUAAGAGGAAGCCCCGGCUAACUACGUGCCAGCAGCCGCGGUAAGACGUAGGGGGCGAGCGUUGUCCGGAAUUAUUGGGCGUAAAGCGCGCGCAGGCGGGAUAUCAAGUCUGUCUUAAAAGUGCGAGGCUCAACCUCGUGAGGGGACAGAAACUGGUAUUCUUGAGUGUCGGAGAGGAAAGUGGAAUUCCAAGUGUAGCGGUGAAAUGCGUAGAGAUUUGGAAGAACACCAGUGGCGAAGGCGACUUUCUGGACGAUGUCUGACGCUGAGGCGCGAAAGCUAGGGGAGCGAACGGGAUUAGAAACCCUGGUAGUCC
rnacentral:rRNA from 1 species